rnacentral:rRNA from 1 species
GAUGAACGCUGGCGGCGUGCCUAAUACAUGCAAGUCGUGCGAACAGACGAGGAGCUUGCUCCUCUGACGUUAGCGGCGGACGGGUGAGUAACACGUGGAUAACCUACCUAUAAGACUGGGAUAACUUCGGGAAACCGGAGCUAAUACCGGAUAACAUGUUGAACCGCAUGGUUCAACAGUGAAAGACGGUCUUGCUGUCACUUAUAGAUGGAUCCGCGCCGCAUUAGCUAGUUGGUAAGGUAACGGCUUACCAAGGCAACGAUGCGUAGCCGACCUGAGAGGGUGAUCGGCCACACUGGAACUGAGACACGGUCCAGACUCCUACGGGAGGCAGCAGUAGGGAAUCUUCCGCAAUGGGCGAAAGCCUGACGGAGCAACGCCGCGUGAGUGAAGAAGGUCUUCGGAUCGUAAAACUCUGUUAUUAGGGAAGAACAAAUGUGUAAGUAACUAUGCACGUCUUGACGGUACCUAAUCAGAAAGCCACGGCUAACUACGUG